UGCCUAUACCGGGCCGCCGGCCGGCAGUGAAACGUACUUUUCUCGGAGAGAGAUGUAAGACGCUGAGGCCCCGGCGAGUAGGGGGGUCGCGACGGUGCGCGUUGAAGGGUUGUGGGCGUGAGCCUGCCUGGAGCCGCCGUCGGUGCAGAUCUUGGUGGUAGUAGCAAAUACUCCAGAGGGAUCCUGGAGGACUGACGCGGAGAAGGGUUUCAUGUGAACAGUGGUUGGACAUGAGUCAGUCGAUCCUAAGCCGCAGGAGAAAUCCGUCUCAGUUAACGGCGUGUAUUUAUAUGAUUAUAUAAAACGAUGUGUUUUCUUUUUUUCUUCUUCUUCUUUUCUUUCCGGAUUGAUUUCUGGAUUGAGAGGGAGAGAGAGAGAGAGAGAGAGCGUGUUGUUUUUGUAAUUUUUAAUUACAAACGAAGCGCCGCUGGGUCAAGGCGAAAGGGAAUCCGGUUCUAAUUCCGGAACCAAGCUGCGGCUACGUCCGUACAAACGAUUAACUCGAUUAUAUGGUCGCGGUAACGCGAAACAAGCCAGAGAAGCUGCCGAGAGCCCCGGGAAGAGUUUUCUUUUCUGCUUGAGGGACCGAGACCCUGGAAUUCCGUCGUGGAGCGAGAGGGUUUUGGAUACACGCUGGUAAAAAGGCGAUCCCGAAGAGCGUCGCGUUUCUGCGGCGUCCGUGGUCGCUCUCGGCUGGCCCUUGAAAAUCUGGUGGGAGGGUUACGUUUUUGGAUGCUCGCGCUUGCUCGUACCGAUAUCCGCAUCAGGUCUCCUAGGUGAACAGCCUCUAGUCGAUAGAAGAAUGUAGGUAA
rnacentral:rRNA from 1 species